GGCCGGUUAGCUCAGUGGUUUGAGUGUGAUGCUGACAACAAUGACUACACUGAGGUCGUGGGUUCGAUUCCCGCUCGGUCG
rnacentral:tRNA from 1 species